rnacentral:misc_RNA from 1 species
AAUAAACGUGACAAAGUUCACUUUCUUUGAAGUGUAAUAGCGCCAGUGUGAGUAAGAAAUCAAAAUGUUUUUGAACUUAGUUAAAAAAGCCUUGUUAGUAAGUGAAAGAAAGGGUCUUUCCUUUUCUGUUUCUCGGCUGUUUAAAAGUAGGGCAUUUAUCCGGAGACAAUCUUCUCUGGCCGCCGUGGAACUUUAUACGGACGAUCAUAAACAAAUCCGAGAUUCUUUAAACAAGUUCAUUGAGAAAGAAAUAAACCCUUAUGUUGAUGAAUGGGAGAAGGCAGAGUUUUUCCCUGCUCAUGAGCUGUUCAAGAAACUUGGUGACCAAGGUUUUCUAGGAGUCAACAAACCAACAGAAUAUGGUGGACUUGGUCUUGAUUUCUCCUACUCAAUGGCUGUGGCUGAAGAACUUGGAAACAUCAACUGUGGUUCCAUUCCAAUGGCUAUUGGUGUACAAACCGACAUGAGUACUCCUGCUCUUGCCAAAUUUGGCAGUAAUAAACUGAAGGAAACGUUCUUGGCUCCAACUAUAGCUGGAGACUAUGUGGCUUGUAUUGGGGUCAGUGAAGUGGGAGCUGGAUCAGAUGUUGCUAGUAUUCAAACAAAGGCUGUAACAAAAGGAGAUGACCUUAUAAUCAAUGGUCAGAAGAUGUGGAUAACAAAUGGUUGCCAAGCAGACUGGAUGUGUUUGCUAGCCAAUACAUCUGGUGGACCUUCUCACAAGAACAAGAGUCUCAUCUGUAUGCCAAUGAAUUUACCAGGCGUUCAUGUGACCAAAAAAAUCAGCAAAAUUGGAAUGAAGUCUUCAGAUACAGGUCAGAUCUUCAUGGAAGAUGUCAGGGUUCCCAAGAGCUACAUUAUUGGAGAGGAAGGCAAAGGAUUCUUGUAUCAGAUGUUACAAUUCCAGGAAGAGAGGAUGUGGGGUGCUGCAGGAAUGAUUAAGCCUCUGGAGAAAAUAAUUGAACAAACUAUUGAGUAUACAGCUGGUCGGAAAAUCUUUGAUAAGUCUGUUCUUGACCACCAAGUGGUACACUUCAGACUUGCUGAGCUGGCGACAGAGAUGGAAUUGUACAAAGCACUCUUUCAUAAAUGUGUUGGGUUGUACAUAGCUGGAAAUGACGUUACCAAGUAUGCUUCAAUGUGCAAGCUAAAAGGAGGUCGUCUCGCUCGUGAGGUAUCUGACUCCUGCUUACAGUACUGGGGUGGCAUGGGCUUCACAGACGAAGUGUUUGUAAGCCGUUGCUAUAGAGACUUCCGCUUACUUUCCAUCGGAGCUGGCGCUGAUGAAGUGAUGCUGUCAAUCAUUUGUAAAUACAUGAAUAUCCUACCGAAGUCGAAGUGAACACUUAACCCCUGGUUUUCGUUGGUGUCUUGAGUUUGUGUUUGUGUGUCAGUUUGCAGUGUUUGGGUGGGUGGGGGGGCUACGUCUGUUUCUGUGUAUAUGUGUGUGUGUGAGCGUGGGUGGGUGUAUGGGGGUGAGAGAUAGUGCUAUGGAAAGAGUAGGAGAGAAAGAGAGACGGUGAUAGAUAGGGAAUAGAGAGAGAGAGAGAGAGAGGGAGAGAGAGAGAGAGAGAGAGAAAGAGAGAAAGAGAGAAAGAAAGAAUAGUCUGUCGGUUUUACUCAUCUUCCAAAUUCAACCCACCACGAAGAUCGAUAUGACCAAUGUCUGAUUGACUGACUCUUUGGAGCUUUUCAUUAAUGUAUUAAUUUGAACUGUUCAUUGAUUGAUUGGUUGACUGGCCUGAUCGAUUGACCGACUGUUCGAUCUGUCCGCUUAAUCAAUGUCACACGGAAGACAAAUGGACGAUAAAUACAACAGAAUUUGAUUGCUAAAUAUUUUAUAAACGAAAUGGAAUAAAUAUAUUUUUGUUUUUGCUGUU